AGCAGCCUCCAUUUUAGCUCAGGCAUCAGGGCUGAGCCAGCAGUUUGCUGCUGGCAGCUGAAACAACUCCUGGCUGAGCUGGUGCUCGAAGCACUUUGGAGGUUCCUGAACAUCUGUGGCUUCUUCUGGUUUGGCAGGGGUCCUGCUUCAGGACUGAUCCCCAGCUCUACUGCUGCAGAACUUGGAAUUGAACGGAGGAUUGGAGAAUAGUUGGAAUUGAACCCAGGGAUUCCAUAAUAAACAUGGUGAAAGACUGGGGAGCUGAGCACACUGGCCAGAUUGAAUCUCCCACAAUGCAAGUCUGAACGUAUGGGUCUGUGUGUUCCAUUGCGUCUGUGCAGUCCAAGCAGGAGCCAGGGAGUAUGAACAACUAGCAAUAAAGUGGAACCCAAGAGGCUGCUAAGAUUCAGACAUAUCCAACCAUGUCCUCAAAUCCCAUAAAUGGAUUCCUGUUCUCUGUUCCUCCUCAGCCAUGCCAGCUCAAGACAAGUUGGGCCAAUCUGCUACAGUCUGUUGCUCUCUGAACUACACAAGGUCCCUCAAUUUCAGGGAGUCCAAAAAACAGCUGUGACUUUCCUAUUUGCAGAACAGCUCUGUUUGCUUUGCUGAAACCAUGCUGCAUGUUUGAAAUGUAACAAACUUUCACUGCCCAAAAACUUUCUUUCCCUUUGGAAAAGGAUUUGUGUAAGAACAAUUACUGCAAAACAUAACGUUUGUGAUCAAGUGCCAGUGACUUCCAUGCAAGCAUGAUCCUUAUCUUGAACUUCCAAGAUCCAUGAUCUUCAGUAGUGUAACUAAGGCAGGAUGACUGGAGCAGCAGCCCCAGAUGCUGACAUAGAAAAAUAACAACUGCCACUAAAGCUGCACAUCUGCACAGGCAGCACCAGCAGCCAGAAAAUGCAUCAUGCAUCACCACUGCCCCAGCCACCCAGCUGCUCUGUUAUGCCUCUGCUGUUCUUAUUAGGAAAGAUAGGAGGAAAAUGCCAAAUAUCAUGGCAAAUAGGUACCAGUGAAGAGAUGAAGAAGAACAAUCUAACAGAAGGAAAAGAGAAAAAAAAACCUACAAUGUG